AAAAUAUUUGUCGUAAAUUCCAUAUAUUCUUUUUAAAUAUUUUGAUUGAUUAGAAAUGUUGAAUCAUUGUAGUUAUGUGACUAAUAUAAUAUUUUCGUUAUUAUCCGUAUAUGUUACAGGGUCAAAAUGACAUUUUACCCAUUUUCACCAUUUUCCCGCCAAAAUUUGGGUUUUAAGGCAAAAUAAUUUUUUUUGCUUAUCGGUGACCUAUGUUUUUUAUUUGCUCAUUCUUUGAAGCUAUAUUUCAGCUUUUUUAUAUUACAGUUUUGGACCAAGUGUCAUAGAACGUUUUUUUGAUAUUCCGAUAAAAAUAUGUCAACACCUCGAUUUUCCCUAUCAUUUCAUUGAAAAAUUGUCCUUUUCAC
rnacentral:lncRNA from 1 species